ACCCCGCACAAGCAGCGGAGCGUGUGGUUUAAUUCGAGGCUACACGAAGAACCUUACCAGGGUUUGACAUGCAAGUGGUAGGAAUCCGAAAGGUGACCGACCCUUCGGGGAGCUUGCACAGGUGCUGCAUGGCUGUCGUCAGCUCGUGUCGUGAGAUGUUCGGUUAAGUCCGCUAACGAGCGCAACCCUCGUCGUGUGUUAUACGUGUCACACGAUACUGCCGGUAUCAAGCCGGAGGAAGGUGGGGAUGAUGUCAAGUCAGCAUGGCCUUUAUAUCCUGGGCUACACACACGCUACAAUGGCAGAUACAAUAGGUUGCGAAACCGCGAGGUGGAGCCAAUCCUCAAAGUCUGUCUCAGUUCAGAUUGUAGGCUGCAACUCGCCUGCAUGAAGUUGGAGUUGCUAGUAAACGCAGGUCAGCUAUACUGCGUUGAAUACGUUCCCGGGUCUU
rnacentral:rRNA from 1 species